rnacentral:tRNA from 1 species
AUCUAAUUAGUUUAUUAAAAUAUUAAAUUGUGGAUUUAAAGAUGAUUUUCAUUAGAUA